GUCAGUUUGGCCGAGUGGUCUAAGGCGAUAGACUAGAAAUCUAUUGGGGUCUCCCCGCACAGGUUCAAAUCCUGUAGCUGACG